AGUGAACGCUGGCGGUAGGCCUAACACAUGCAAGUCGAACGGAAGCACAGUAAGAGCUUGCUCUUACGGGUGGCGAGUGGCGGACGGGUGAGGAAUACAUCGGCAUCUACUUUUUCGUGGGGGAUAACGUAGGGAAACUUACGCUAAUACCGCAUACGACCUACGGGUGAAAGCAGGGGAUCUUCGGACCUUGCGCGAUUGUAUGAGCCGAUGUCGGAUUAGCUAGUUGGCGGGGUAAAGGCCCACCAAGGCGACGAUCCGUAGCUGGUCUGAGAGGAUGAUCAGCCACACUGGAACUGAGACACGGUCCAGACUCCUACGGGAGGCAGCAGUGGGGAAUAUUGGACAAUGGGCGCAAGCCUGAUCCAGCCAUACCGCGUGGGUGAAGAAGGCCUUCGGGUUGUAAAGCCCUUUUGUUGGGAAAGAAAAGCAGCAGGUUAAUACCCCGCUGUUCUGACGGUACCCAAAGAAUAAGCACCGGCUAACUUCGUG
rnacentral:rRNA from 1 species